CAGAUUCAGUGAUAAGAUCCUCAAAUUCUAGUGGUGAUGCAGAGGAGCCAUUUGCUGACUCAUGUCUGGUUACCGGCUUGGCUGGUGCCUUAGCUGUUGGCCUUAUAUUAACCUUAGUUUUCUAUAUUUUCUGGAGAUGUUAUCUACGAUCUACAAUCACAUCAUUUUUUUCAUCAGCAAAAAAUAAGCAUUCUGAUGAAAAAAUGGCUGAGCUACAGAAACAAACCCAGGAGACAAAAGAAGAACUGGACGGAUACGUGAGGGAUUUGACUUCACUGACGGAGCUGAAGAGGGGACUGGGGAGUCAGAGAGAGGAAUUCAGACUGCAGCUAGAAGAGAUAGAGAAAGAGACGGAAGAAAACAGAAAGAAGGUUCAGUUAGUGGAGAGGGAAAUAUCAGAGAGUGAGAAAGAAAAGGCGACUGACAAAACAGAAGGAUACUUGAGAGAAAAACAAAACCUAAUAAAUGCUCAACGGAAACUGGAGAAGAGGAAGGAAGAAGUGGAGAAACAGCAACUAAACAUGGAGAAACUGAUGCAGAAAACAGAGAGUCUCAUGGAAACAACAACAGAAAGGAAAAGGAGAGUAGAGAACCACAUGGCGCUCAUCAACUCACACCUGGAAGAGAUCUGUUCAGAAGAAAGAUCUCCUCCAUUGAGAGAGUAAUCACAAAGUUCCCUUCUUGUUCUAUAGAGAAUCUGACAUUUGUGUGAACAUCUACAUUUUCUCUUUAGUUUUCAUUACUGCCUGGAUGCCUACAGAAUCAUUAUGUUAUUUGAGCCCAUUGACACUCAACAACCGAGCCAAGAUAUCAGAUAGCUGGAUAUUGCUUUUGACAUAACUUCAAAUUUCACCAAAUUAAAUAUCAGUGGUAGAAGAGUGAGACCCUUUGAUUGAUUGAUUGCUGAUCUGGUGCCUCGGUCAUAACGUAAUGUUGAUGUGAAGUAGUUUUAGGCUGCGUGAAUUGCGUAUUGGGUGCAGAAGUGUAUUAUGUGUGAAGGAAAUUUGGUGUUUCCUGCAUGGUGGGACAGUUCCCACAUGGUGGGAAGUAGGCGUCGACCUACUUGGUAUUCAAGACACAAGGCAUUGUGGGAACUGACUCUGUGAACUUAACAAUUCUAACACCAUGACUGAGGGGAACGUGUUGACCAGUGGGCUCUGUCCUGAUGUGAUGUUUAGGGCAGGAAGAUAGGGCUGCAUUGAGGCUUGUUGAAGAAUCAAUGUUGGGAAAUACAACAGAUAUAAGUCGAGCGGUGUACGGGACUUUGUUGUACUGUAAAAGAGCCAUUCGGAAUUGUGCGGUGUAUGGAACACGAAUGUGCUAAUAAAACUUGCUGAACAGAGUAUUGAGUGCUUUGUGUUUGGCCAGCUCACCCAUUAGCUUAGUGCAGUUGUCAAAACUGCCACGACAUAUGUUAUUUUAUUUUGUGCAAUCUGCUCUGAUGAUCUUGACGCGGUUUAGCAACGGCUCACGGCAAAAAUAGAAAUGCUACGGAUUGAAAGCGCUGCAGAGCGGAGAGCUGCAGCUGGGACGCUGCUGAGACGUUACGCAGCGCGCCCGGUGGGAAUGCUCUCAUUGAUUAGAGUGGCAACGAUCAG